AAAUUGAAGAGUUUGAUCAUGGCUCAGAUUGAACGCUGGCGGCAGGCCUAACACAUGCAAGUCGAACGGUAACAGGAAACAGCUUGCUGUUUCGCUGACGAGUGGCGGACGGGUGAGUAAUGUCUGGGAAACUGCCUGAUGGAGGGGGAUAACUACUGGAAACGGUAGCUAAUACCGCAUAACGUCGCAAGACCAAAGAGGGGGACCUUCGGGCCUCUUGCCAUCGGAUGUGCCCAGAUGGGAUUAGCUAGUAGGUGGGGUAACGGCUCACCUAGGCGACGAUCCCUAGCUGGUCUGAGAGGAUGACCAGCCACACUGGAACUGAGACACGGUCCAGACUCCUACGGGAGGCAGCAGUGGGGAAUAUUGCACAAUGGGCGCAAGCCUGAUGCAGCCAUGCCGCGUGUAUGAAGAAGGCCUUCGGGUUGUAAAGUACUUUCAGCGGGGAGGAAGGGAGUAAAGUUAAUACCUUUACUCAUUGACGUUACC
rnacentral:rRNA from 1 species